rnacentral:misc_RNA from 1 species
CAGCUUGAAGCUACAAUUAGUGGAUUAAGGGAUGAAGUGGAGAAGAAGACAUCAUUAAUUGAGAAUUUAGAGAAGAGUGUUGUGGAAAAGGAAUGGAAGGUUUCUGCGAUUGAGAGAGAGAUGUUUAAGAAGACACAUUUGGUAGAGAACGAAGCUUUGGUGCUGAGGGAGUUAAUUAGUGAGUAUGAUGAUAAGUUGAUCAAUUUGGAGUCAAGGAUGGAAUUGCAGAGGCCUUUAUUGAUUGAUCAAUUGA